AGUGAACGCUGGCGGUAGGCCUAGCACAUGCAAGUCGAACGGCAGCACAGUAAGCGCUUGCUCUUACGGGUGGCGAGUGGCGGACGGGUGAGGAAUACAUCGGAAUCUACUUUUUCGUGGGGGAUAACGUAGGGAAACUUACGCUAAUACCGCAUACGACCUACGGGUGAAAGCAGGGGAUCUUCGGACCUUGCGCGAUUGAAUGAGCCGAUGUCGGAUUAGCUAGUUGGCGGGGUAAGGGCCCACCAAGGCGACGAUCCGUAGCUGGUCUGAGAGGAUGAUCAGCCACACUGGAACUGAGACACGGUCCAGACUCCUACGGGAGGCAGCAGUGGGGAAUAUUGGACAAUGGGCGCAAACCUGAUCCAGCCAUACCGCGUGGGUGAAGAAGGCCUUCGGGUUGUAAAGCCCUUUUGUUGGGAAAGAAAAGCAGCAGGUUAAUACCCCGCUGUUCUGACGGUACCCAAAGAAUAAGCACCGGCUAACUUCGUG
rnacentral:rRNA from 1 species